UUUUUUUUUUGUAGAGACAGAGUCUCACUUUAUGGCCCUUGGUAGAGUGCCGUGGCCUCACACAGCUCACAGCAACCUCCAACUCCUGGGCUUAAGUGAUUCUCUUGCCUCAGCCUCCCGAGCAGCUGGGACUACAGGCGCCUGCCACAACGCCCGGCUAUUUUUUGGUUGCAGUUUGGCCGGGGCCGGGUUUGAACCCGUCACCCUCGGUAUGUGGGGCCGGCGCCUUACCGACUGAGCCACAGGUGCCGCCCCCUUUUCAUGUUCUUAAUAGUGACAUUCAAAGAUUGGUUUUAAAAUUUUGAGGAAGUCAACUUUAUGAGUUUGUUUAUUGUUUGUGCUAUUUGCACCCUAAGAAAUCUUAGCCUACCUAAGAAUCAUGAAGAUUUUCUCCUGUAUUUUCUUCUGGAAGCUGUAUACAUGUAGCUUCCAUGUUUAGGUCACUUGAAGUUGAUUUUUAUGUGUGCAAUAUGUAAAUGUCAAGGUUCAUUUUUUCCCCAUAAGAAUAUCUAAUUGCUUAAGCAGCAUAUAUUGAAAAAGUAUGUUUCCUGUCUUAAAUUACGUUGGCACCUUUGUGAAAUGUUAAUUGCCUGAGUGACUUUGCAGUGGAAAACCUGACAGUCACUACUCAGCUGUGUGAUCAAGGUUCAUGUGAAGGGUCAUGUUGAUACUUUGUACCUGGAUAUAGUGUGAUAACAAUAGUACUUUACUACUUUGCUUUUCCUUCCAUUCUCAUGAGAAAAACAUCAGACAAACCCCAACUGAGGGCUAUUAUAAACAUAACCAGUAAUCCUAAAAACUGUCAAGGUCAUUAAAAACAAGGAAAGUGGCUGAGCAUGGUGGUUUAUGCCUGUGAUCCUAGCACUCUGGGAGACUGAGGUGGGCGGAUUGCCUGAGUUCAGGAGUUUGAGACCAGCCUGAGCAAACACGAGACCCUGUCUCUAAAUAUAGUCAGGCCUUGAGGUGGGUGCCUGUAGUCCCAGCUACUCUGGAGACUGAGGCAAGAGGAUUGCUUGAGCCUGGGAGUUUGAGGAUGCUGUGAGCUCUGAUGCCACAGCACUCUACCCAGGGCAACAGAGUGAGACUCCCUCUCAAAAAAUAAAAAAAAUAAAAACAAGGAAAGUUUGAGAAACUGUCAUAGCCAAGAAGAACCUAAGGAUACAUGGAAACUAAAUGUAGUAUUGUGGAUAGGAUCCAGGAAUAGAAAAAGGACAUUAGGUAAAAACUAAGGAAAUCUGAAUAAAGUAUGGACUUCAGUUAAUAUAAUGUGUCAAUAUUGUUUCAUUACUACUAACAAAUGUAUCAUUCCUUUUAUUUAAAAAAAUUUUUUAGAGACAGGGUCUCACUAUGUUGCCCAGGUUGGACUUGGACUCCUGAGCUCAAGCAAUUGUUCUGCCUCAACCUCCUGAGUAGCUCGGACUAGAGGCAUACACCACUGUGCCCAGCACAAAUGUACCAUACUAAUGGAAGAUGUUAAUAAAAGGGGAAACUGGAUGUAGAGUACAGACAGUCCCCAAGUUACAAACAUCUGACUUAUGUACAACUUGCUCUUAUGAAUGGAGGCUAUUACAGUUAAGUCCUGGAGUUACAACCUUCUGACUGACUCACACCUACAAAUGGAGACUAAUACAGGUAAUAGGUAAAUGUAUCUGUUCUAACUUAUAUACAAAUUUAACUUAAGAACAAAACUACAGAACCUAUCUCAUUUGUAAUCUGGGGACUUCCUAUAUAUGGGAACUCUUGGAACCACCUUUACAAGUUUUUUGAAAUUAAAACUUUCUAGAAUAAGUUUAAUAAAAUCAAACAAAAACUGACAGUAUGUUUUGUAACUUUAUAAUUAGUUGUGCUUACAUUUAAGAUUUUUAUAUACUCUUGAGGAGCUGGCAAUUCAAUAGUGAAAUAUCUCAUUAUCCAGAUGAUAUUCUUUGCUCUGACAUGUAUUUUGCCUGAUGUUAAGGUGGCGACUCCAUUUCUUUCCUAUCCUUUUACUUAUUGCUAGUCUUAUUUUUAUCCAGUUUGUUUAAAAAAUCGCUUUGUUGCCCAGGCUAGAGUACAACGGCAUCAUUAUAGCUCAAGUGAUCUUCCCACCUCGGCCACCAUGCCCCACCAUGCCCAGCCUAGACCUUUACAUUAAAUCGUUGCCUAGCAGGAGCCUGGGAGAAGGAGCUGAAGGAACGGUGCUUACCGGAAAGGACCCCAGGUCACUGGGGGGACAGGCAUCCAGGGUAUUCAAGAGCAUCAGUUUCGCAGAGUGACUACGGCAGGCCCUCGCUUACCCACAUCUGGUAGGCAGCAGAGUCGGUCUCCUCAGGACAGAGGCCCUGCUGGCUGGGUCCAGUCUUACUCUAAAUGUCCUCAUUGCUGACCACCUGGCUUCUGGGGCAUUGGAGGGAAAUGUCUCUCAGUGGCCACCCUGACCCAGCUCUCCAAAAGCUCCUACUCCUGAAAGGCUGGGGGAGGCCCCUGAGCUUGGGGAGCUACAGGCUAAAGAAGAAAUUCUAGAGCCAGGCCCAGGAAACAUGAAGACAAUGAAGGACAGCAGAAGCAACAGCUGGCACUUGGUGAGCACUAACCUGUGCCAGGCACUGUUCCACAUGCGAGAACGCUGCUCAUUUGAUUCUUACAGCAACUUCAUUGGGAAUGUUAUCACUGUUUUUACAAGUGAACAAAGCGAGACACAGAGAUCUUAAAUCUUCUGGGUCUUGGUUUCCUGAAAAUUUAACAGUUUUGAAGGAGAGUGCUGGAAAAGUCCCCAUGCUGAAGGGGCUCAGAAGGCUGUGGCUCAGGAGGGAGGACCCCCACCCACCGCUUGACUGGGAAAUAGCGGGCAAGGUCAGGGAAAGUACCUGGCAGAGUGCAGGGUGAGGCCAGGGAGCAAAUGUCUGCACAGGCUGCAGCAGUGUAAGAGUGUUAGAAAAAUUGCUGAAGAUCCUAACUGGGAGAGCUUCUAAUGGGUUUCCCGGGAGUUUCUCACCAUCAGCUGCCAUGGGACGGCUCCUCAGCAGGCCAGCCCCGCAUGGGUGGGCUCCGACCCAGCUGAUGGAAAUGCAGGCUUCACCUUUGCAGUGUGGGCAAGGGGCAGCUUGGAGGGGCACCCACGGAACUACCAUGCUGACUGGUGGCCCAUGAGAGGCCAGAGGCAGCAGCUCUAGCAGUGCCCGGGCCACAUUGAAUGGAGGACCACGGGUAUUUGGGGUGUGUGAACCAUGUGGUGGAGGUGACGCUACACAGAGGCAGAAGUGGAAGGGGCUGGUAGGCAGUGGCUCGACGCUCUCGUAGCAGACCCAGAACUGCUAACAAUGUCCGAAAUCCCAUUACCAGACAGGAGAGGACCAGGCACAAGGCUGGGCACCCAUUUUGCUCCUCUCUAAAUUUACGAAAUUCUUCCCAGCACUAAGACCUGUCUCCCUGUAGUGGUACCUCCUUCCAUGCUUAGCACCCUGGUUUUGACAGGGAGGACGUCUAAUGCCCCACACUGUUGAGGGCCUAGAGAAGAGCAGGGACCCUGGGAUAGCAGAGAAAGUGGGGUUGGGGGUGUGGGCUUUGUUUAAGAGCUGCCUCUGCAGUUAGAGCUCAAACUGCUGUCAGCUGCUGUCUCAGGCCCAGGUUUGGGGUGGGAGCUUUGUUAUCAGAGCAGUCGCUCUACCCUUUUUGGUUGGCAGGUAGCUGCUGGGAACAUUUCUCCUUGAGAAUGAUGUACUCCCUCAGGGUUUGGGGACCAUCAAGGCCACUGUUAACAGAAGAGCCUCCUGGCUGUCCCCUGGCUGUCAGCUCCAGGGUACAAGCAUCCUGUUUCAUGCUGCUGCUCUACUGGUUGGGUCUCUGCUCCUGCUACUUGGCAGGGUUCUCACCACACCCCCGCCUCAGCUUCUCUCCAAAGGCUUCUGCCCAUGUGGAGCCAGCCCCUUCCUUCACAGGCUCGAAGAAUGCAGUGUCAGGCACUGGGAUGUGUUUAAAAAAUACUGAUUGAUGUAGAAAGAACCUGAGCUUUGAAGUCAGACCUGGAUGUAAGUCCCACCAACACCAUUUAUUAGCUAAAGUAUUACAGGCAAGUUUCCUCGUUUAUAGACUGGUGGUGGUCUUGAGGGUGGGAAAGGAGAACUGUUAUCUGAUGUUGGGCAGAGGAAGAGGAUCCCUGUCAUGGGACUGUUCACACACAGGAGACAGAAGCAACCUACGCGCCUGGUUCUGCAGUAGCCGUGCCCCCCCAAACCAGGGCCAUCUCCCCCUGAGGCCCCUUUGCUGCUGGCCUUGGCCUGACCUGUUCCCAGGUACCUCCACCGCUUGUCUGGUCCGGUUUGGGAAUUCCUUGAGGGGCAGUGUGGGAGGGAGCUAGAGAUAAAAGAACAUGUUUUACAUAACAGAAGCUAACGCUUUGACAAUCUAAAAAGACUCAGAUUAUUAAGCCUGGGAAAAUUAGACUCAAGAAAGGAUUGAAGAAAAGAAAUUGAGGAUUUGGAUCAGACAACAGGAGAACGUGCUGAGGUCGGAACUGUUGGAGGGGGAGGCUGAGCAACUCGACCGCGGUCCCCCGCAAGACCACGCACAGCACCUGGACAGUCACCAUGGCCUGUCCCUGCAUCAGUUAGGGUGCUAGGGACAGAUAAUCCAACUCAAAAUAGUUUAAGCCAAAAAAAAAAAGUACUUGCUCAUGUACCUAGUGUUACCUAAUUACCCCAUAAAAAGCCCCUCCCCCAGAAAAGCCUCGCCUACUUUCUACAGACCAAGAUUAAUUAGGGCCUGCCCCUAACGCCUCUUCCGGCCAGGGCAGUAACUCCUUAUUGGCUAUUCUGCCCUCCCAUCACCAUUCUAAGACUUCCCGCAACGGAACCUGUAUCGCUGUCUCUUGCGCAAG